AUGCCAGGAACUCACAAUGACAUCAACGUGCUGCAGUGCUCUCCUGUUUUUGCCAAGCUCGUUGAGGGCCAUUCUCCUCCGGUGAACUUCGAGAUCAAUGGGCACCAAUACAACAAGGGGUACUACCUAGCAGAUGGCAUCUAUCCGAGAUGGUCGACAUUUGUGAAGACGAUCUCAAACCCUGCGGCAGGAGGCAAGAACGCCUGGUUUGCGAAAGUUCAGAAGGCUUGCAGGAAGGAUGUCGAGCGGGCAUUUGGUGUGCUCCAAUCUCGAUUUGCUGUUGUUCAGUACCCCACUCAGACCUGGUCCAAAGAUCAAAUGUGGGAGAUUAUGACUUGCUGUGUCAUCUUGCACAACAUGAUCAUCGAGAGCGAGCAAGAAGACCCAGUGUUUGACACUGAACCAUACUACAGGCAGGGUCCUUUAGCCUAA
rnacentral:rRNA from 1 species